GGACACAAUUGAUUGAUGCAUUAGAGGUAGAAUAUGAGUUUGGUAGAAAAAUUUCUUUCUUUCUUUCUCUUUUUCAUUGUUUCAUUCUUUUAAUUAAAUUUGCAGUGAUGAGAUUGUUUGCUUUGAAUCCGAAGUUGCAAAAAUAGUUGGUCAAUGGGAAAGAGAUACAUUAGAUACCUAUAAUCAUCUCAUUGAAUUUGCAGUGACUCUCUGGACCAUUUAGUAGUCAUGCUAACGAUGACAGUAUUGGUGCAGCAACCAGUCCCAUCUAAUGGGAAAAAAUUAGAUGAUUUAUCAUGCUGACAUUUGUACAACAGUACCAUGAGUUGAACUAUAGUUGCUUCAAUGUGGUCAGAUAUUUUUCUUGAGUCACGUGUUUUGGAAAAUAAAUCAUAAAAUCAAAUUAUUAUUGCUUGAGAUGUAUUAGACGUCAUUAGUUUAUUAAAGUAGAUUAUAUAUUAGAAAAAUAGGGUAAGAUAUUCUUGUUCCUUUCUUAUGGCUACUCGUCCUUUUUUAAUUACUUUUUUUUUUUAAUUAUGUAGUUGGUUUUAGUUAAGUAUGAUGCAACAGAAGAUCAUUUGGUGACAAAUAUUUCUCAACAGAGACAGAUUCUUAAGCGUAGGUAUUAUUUUCAACAGUCAUCCUUGUCUGUCUCGUUUGAUUUCUAUUCACUCUUUUUGAAGUUUGGAUUCUGUUUUUUUGUAUGUUAAAUCAUUUGCCUUUUCGGUGCACAUUCUGUCGACUGGAUGUACCAAUGGUCUUUUUUAUACACCAUUCUUGGAUUUACUUGAGUAACAAUUCAUGUAGAUAUUACCUAGUAGAGAUGGCAAAAGAUGCCAACAUCAUUGAGAUUUUGGUUGGAACUCUAGGUGUAGGUCAAACUACAAUGGUUGUAUAAUGCAUACAAGUUUUUCCCUUCAGCUUAUGUGUCUCUAGUAUUUCUUGGUAAUGUACCAUUGGAUCAACAGUGAAUUCGGAUCCAUAGAAUUCUAUGUUUUAAAAGGAUGUGUGCAAUUUUAUGUUUUUAAUAGUUUGGUAGAUUUUUGUCAACUUCUGAAGCAUGCUUUCAAUAUGUUAUAUUAUAUAAGUUGAAAUCCAAUGAGACAUUUUCAGAUAUUUUUGUCUCCGUUCUUGAAAUCAGAAGUUUGAUAAUAGUUUGACCUUUGGGACCCAGUUUCCAAACCAUUUUGUAACAUAUUUUUCUUUAAAAACUCUUUCAUUCAAAUCUCUAGUAGAAUAUUUUAUUCUCUACCAUUGUAGUUUAUCUCUUCUUAUUACUAAUAACAAUUUAUUUUUUCUAUAAAAAAAGUUGAUCCCUUGCACUUGAUUACUUAUUCCUAUUAUAUGUUCGUGUUAUUCAUUAUCGUGCUUCUUAUAUAUUUAUGUAGGUUCUGGUUGCUCUUACUCUGGUGUUUUAGUAUUUGAACUCCAUAAAAACUUACAUAUUGUUGUAUGAUGCUGAUAUUUACUUUUGUCAUGUCAAGUUGUUGUUAGGUAUUGUUUUAUUAUCAUAUCUAUUUUUGUUAUGCAUCAUUAUGAUGCUAAACUGAUCAUUGCUGCAGUGGGUUACCUUCAUGUGAUUCAUCAGAUGAAAGAACUAUUACUUUAGCAGGGAAAAAAGCUUUCAAACUUUUCAUGGGCAAACCAAAUCCUGCAAAAGUUGCCAACUUUCCUGAGAGGAAGUUAAUGGAGUGGGGACUAUGUUAUGAAAUUUCGAGAUUUAAUUAGUUCUAAUUUAGUGGGAGAAAA